GGGCCCCCUUUUCGGUUUUGCUCGGAGGUGGAAAGCAGAACACGGGACUGACUCGACGACUGCAAUGUCGAACUCCCUCAGCGGCAGACGCAGGAAGUGGACCUUCCGCUGGGCCUUUUUCAGGUCGGGAGCGAUUUUAAACUCCCAGGACGUUGAAGGUCCCCCACGGCGAACGCACGGCAGCUGGGACGAAGGACGCCUCUGCCUCACGAAGUCCACAAUCUUUUCUCCGCUCAUCGUCGCAGUCUUCGAGGCCGCUGGAGCGUCGACCGCAACGGCAAACGGUCCUCUUGCGGAGCUUCACGCGGAUGCCAGUGCGAUUUUCCCCCUUUGUUGUCUUUGCCUUGGUUUGAGCUGGUGUUGCAUAAAAUGUCCGAGUUUUGUUUUGGGACAUAAGGAGAUGAAUUUGUUCUAAUUUUAGAAGUGUUGUAUGUUUUUUUUUUUUUUUUUUUUUUUUUCCCCCCUCUUCUCUCCACUCUCGUCCCCGCGUCGAAGAGGUGCAGCAGAGGAAACGAGGCGCCGACAUCCGCCGGGUGAGGGCGAGCUGCAGAAAGGCUGAGCGAGGGGAAACGGAACGGACCAAAUAAAGGAAGCAAACGUCUCGAUCUGAAGUGGCGAACGGGAGGAGGGCAGCUUUGGCCAAGGAAGUUCGGAGAGUUUUGCGGACCUUCCUCGGUCGGCUGGAGCCGGCCGGUCUUGAUUUGUCCCAUCUGCGGCGCCGACGUCCGUUGGAGGUGGUCGGCUCGUCGUUUCGGCGGGGUCGGCCGUAGCGGGCGGGCCCCGCGAAGACGAGGGAGGACUUCUUGUCUCUCGGUGAGUACGCGACACCGACGUCAACGCCGGUGCGCUUCUCCCCCCGCAGCGUCCCGAAACAAAGGCGCCAACCGGAGGGUGAGUCUGUCGUCGGUCCGCUUGGCGUUUGCCUCCGCUCACUAACUCACUUGGUGUUCACCCACUAACGCCGUUUGCUGUGAAUUUUGUUCAAAUCUUUGAAUGUGUUCAUCAUUCCGUUCCCCUCCAAAAUGUAUUUUGUAUUUGACUUUUUCUGUCCUUUACUCUUUCGGAUGUGACAAAUGUGCUUUAUUUGAAAUAAAAUGGCUUUGUACUUUGAACUGUUUUUAUCGUGUGCAAAUACAUUUCAGACUAAAAAUGACUCGCACAGUCAGGCAUUUUAGCGCCCUAAAAGUUUUAUAAUUCGGCCUUUGAAGACAAACCGAUUACAAAUAGCAUAAAAAAUUUCCCAAAGUAUAAAUGACUGGAUUUUAAAUGUACACACAACAUGACAAUGUGCAGUAAAAGGCAAAAUUUUCAUGCAGGGGUUUAAAAAAAAAAAAAUCUCAAAGGACGUAUUGUGAGACGAUGGGGUAAAAAAAUGAAAGUGGUCAAAUUGUGUGUGAUUUAAUGGAAAAAAAAAAAAAUGUACAAUGAGUUUUUUGUUGGAUGCCUGGGAAGUUGCAGUCAUUCAGUUUUUGAAAUGAGUUUUCGUUGCUGUACAAGCUGCUGCGUCUUUUCCCUUUGGGGUCCUCCUUUCUACCCGCUCCCACUGCAGGUCAGUCCUCGGCGAACGUCGCGGUCCGAGGGGAUGGAUUCCGGUGUCCCCCUCACCUGGUACGCCGCCGGCGAUCCGGAACAAAAGGUCGCCCCGCUCCAACCGCACGGUGAGGGUCUGUCUUGGUUCUGAGUUUGUGGCCGCUCGCGCUCUGGGGAUGCAACUGCGCAAGAAGCGGGAACGCAAGUGGAAUUUGCGGUCAAAGUUAAAUUGUGAACGGGGGGGGGGGGGGGGGCAGCGAGCCGUGUGGCUUCCCUUGGUCGACGAGGAAUUGAAGGAAGUUGUUUGGUAGUUGGUCUGAUUUUUGUCACGAGGGCAGGCGUGUAAAGGCCGGCGGUUGGAUGUUUUUGUUGGGUUUGCUGUGAAGCAGAGUUUGAGACGGUCUGGCAUGUCCUGGUCCUGAGUGUUGCUCAUUUUUGAGUCCUACUGCAGGCCUUGAAUGAAUGCGAGAACCAACAGCAAAAACUCAUAUUUGGUCUUGUUUCAGGGACCGGCGAAUGGCAGAACACAAGAUGAACGGCUUCAUUUCCCCGUCAGGCAAGUGUACAAUUAUUGCACGUUAACAUCUGUGGCCACGUGUUAAAGUAUUUUUUCCCCCCCCCCACCCCAAAAUAAAACUCCGUCUUGAACAAAGUUCUUCCGCCGGGGGCCAAGCACCCGGGAUACAGGCAGAGUAUGUCUCGGUUCUAUUUGGGUGUUUGUCCACUUCACUCACUCACUCACUCACUGGGUGUGCACCAACUAAUGCUACCGCUUAAUUUUUUUUUUUUUUCCUUUGUUUUGAGAUGUGCUUUGAUUAUGGCAAAAAUUGUGAAGUUAGAUCAAUAAAAUGUAUUGUGAAGCAUUUGAGGUGGUUGAUGGAAAAAGGGUCAAAGUCAGAAGUUUUCAUGACUUGCGUUGAAAUGGAAUGUUUGACAAUGAAACCAUUUGAUCAAAAAUUUGUCAUUUAUUUUUUUGGGGGGGGAGACCUGCAGGUCUUUUUUUUUUUCUUCUUAAAUUUGUGUUGAACAAAUAAAUUGACUUUAUGGUGGUGUCUGACUCUUCUUUUAAUCGUCCGCCGGUUCCGUCCUCGAAUCGAAAGUCUCCUUCCAAAUGUGUUCAGAAUCCAAAACCAGCCGAGCUCAAAUAGUGGAGGGCGGAGGUCAAAGCCGAAAUGCCGAAGCGGCAUCGAGCGACGACGCUGCACCCGAACGGAAAAAGUUGCCGACAGAGGUAAAGCACAUUGAGUGAGCUCGUGUAUGAAAUGCGCUUUCCAAGUCAAUUUGCUUUCCUUUGCUGGGGCGUCCCUGGGCCGCAGACGCGUGUCGAAGUGCGACCACAAGGGGGCGCUCCAGCCGGCAGCCAUUCCAACAAGUUCUUCAACCUGCACUUGGCGAACACGACCCCGCCCUGAGUGUUCCCUCGUGGGCGGCCUGACAACUUGCGGUCUUGGGUUCGAUUCCGGCCUCGACCCGACGUUGCGCCGGAAUGUCUCCGUGGAGCCUGUUGCGUCCCCCAUCCUCAACAGAAGCUCACGUUUCCAACCCUCAGCAGAGCUGUGAGUUUUCUUUCUAUGCAUAAUUUUUAUGAAAUUGUACAGAUUGCCGGUCGAGACAAAUUUGAAACUAUAGCAAUAAAAAGGUACAUUGCAAGAGAUAUGUAUCUGUGUAUGAUAAUUUCUUUCACAUUUUAUUUAAAUGUAAUCAAAUAUCUUGCAUUGAAUUUCAAAGUGAAUUGUUACAAGGUGAAGCAGAUCUGAAUUACAAAACAUACACAUUUAAAACGCGCUCACUGCAUUUUAGACAGACUCAACGCCCUGCACGGGGUUUGAACCACCAACCUCUCGGUUCCAAAGCCACAUCGCGACGCCCUCACCCGUCACCGAGUUGACAGUUGAGCCUUUCUUCCUGUCCGUAUAUUUCAAACGACCGAUUUCCACGUUUUUAAAUUCAAUGUGCGUAUCCAGUCCCCACUCGCAUGUUCCGCGGUGGCCUGUUGAGUUGUGCCUCGCUCGAGGAACCCGAAAGUCUCGGUUCAAAACCACUUGCGGCACUGUUUGCUUUUCUUAAGAAUGUUUUUGUCCAAUUCACGUCUUUUAAUGGUGGCUGCCCACCACACAGGAAGUUCAGUUUUAUUUUGAAUUAAGAUAAUCGACAAAAUAAAAGUCAAGACCACAAAAGUAACAUUUUUGCUGUUAAAAUGGAUUUCAGAAAUGAUUAUUUAUAUUAAUACACUGCAUUAUUUGCAUGUUAUGAUCAAGUUGUUACAUCACAAGGAACUGGGUUAAUUAGGAUUAGUAGUUGCACAUGGUUAUGGGUUAGUACAGCGUAUUGGUUAGGGUCAGGACAGUUAUGCACAGUACAUCGUUUGAGAGACAUUGACAUUGCAUUUACGAAACCUCCGUUGCUCACUGCUGGCUUUGAACCUACAACCCCGAGCUCAGAAACCUACAGCGCAAUCCUCUGAGCCAGAAGUGAACUAAACAUUUCAGGUUUUCCUUGCCUCAUGUCUUUCAUUUUGAGCACCGCGAGCAGGCUGCCCGGGGAUGCUCUUAGACCCGACUGCGAUGGAGGACCUCCAGCUCGCUGUUGGCUCUGCGGGAAAGGAUAGCGGCUUGUCAAUCUGGCGACCCGGGAUCAAAUCCAAGGGAGGUCCUUGGCGGUCUUUGAAUUGCAGUAUAAUAAUGACUUUUUUUUUUAUCUUGAAUGGUGUGAGUAGACUGGCUGGGAAUGCCUUAUACGCUACUGCGAGGGGAGGCCUCCAGCUCGCUGUUGGCUCUCAGCGUAAGGCGAGCGCUUCUGAAUCCGGCAACCCGGGUUCAAAUCCAAGGGAGGUCCUUGGUAGUCUCAAAUAAAUUCCUCCAAAAGAUAGGGUAGCUAGCAGAUAGAAAGUAGUACGCCAGUAGCGUUAGCUCGCAGAUAGUAUAGCGUACGCUAGGGUAGCUAGCAGAUAGAAAGACGUGCGCCAGUAGAGUUAGCUCGCAGAUAAGAUAGAAUACGCUAGGGCAGCUCGCAGAUAAGGUGGCGUACGCCAGUAGCGGUAGCUCGCACAUAGGAUAGCAUACGCUAGGGUAGCUAGCAGAUAGAAAGGUGUACGCUAGUAGCGGUAGCUUGCAGAUAGGAUAGCGUGUAGCAGUAGCUCGCAGAUAGGAUAGCUGGUAGAUAGGUCGGCGUACGCCAGUAGCAGUAGCUCGCAGAGAGGAUGGCGUACGCCGGUAGCAGUAACUGG